GGUCCCGGUGGGUCACGACGUAAAAGCUUUUCAAGGACCGAGAAGAAAGAACCCUUCCCCACCCCUGUCCCCGGUCAUCUGCGGGGCGUCACUCACACGGGUGAGGUUUGCCAACUGGACUGGAUUUCGGGCUGGUUGGCUGGCAUAUGCUCACGCUCACCACCCCAGACAUGCGACGACCCCCGACCGGGCUGCAAUCCCGAUCGAGGGUCUGGCCGCCGAGGAAGUAGGAGCUUCCCG
rnacentral:ncRNA from 1 species